rnacentral:rRNA from 1 species
UACAGAGGUGGCAAGCGUUGUUCGGAAUUACUGGGCGUAAAGGGCGCGUAGGCGGCUUCUCAAGCGUGUGGUGAAAGUCCGGGGCUCAACCCCGGAUCGGCCGUGCGGACUGGGGAGCUCGAGUUCUGUAGAGGCGGGUGGAAUUCCGGGUGUAGCGGUGGAAUGCGUAGAGAUCCGGAAGAACACCGGUGGCGAAGGCGGCCCGCUGGGCAGAGACUGACGCUGAGGCGCGACAGCGUGGGGAGCAAACGAGG